GGCGGCAGGCCUAACACAUGCAAGUCGAACGCUAAUAGCAAUACGGAAGGUUGACGGGUGAGUAACGCGUGGCGAACCUUUGAAUAAUGUCUGGGAGACUGGGCUAAUGGAGGGGGAUAACUACUUAAAUCCUUAGGGGAAUACGGUAUAUCGCCGGGAGAAUUGGGGCCACUCCGUAUUAACUCGUUGGGGGAGAGAUUUAUUGCCAUUGGAUGGGCCCGCGUCGGAUUAGCUAGUUGGUGAGGUAAUGGCUCACCAAGNCAACGAUCCGUAGCUGGUCUGAGAGAAUGACCAGCCACACUGGGACUGAGACACGGUCCAGACUCCUACGGGAGGCAGCAGUGGGGAAUCUUGGACAAUGGGCGCAAGCCUGAUCCAGCCAUGCCGCGU
rnacentral:rRNA from 1 species